CAAGAUGGUCGUUGGCCGAAAGAGAGAUGUGAUUUUGGCUUGAUCCGUCGUUUUAUACUGAACUCUCUCUAAAGAGGUCUCCCUUCCUACCUUUCGGAAAGGUGUAGGGCAAGAGUAGGAUCCGCCCCCUUUUGUUUUCAGGCAAAGAAGUAAAGGCAGCAGCCUCCUCUUCCGUCUCAUUUCAGGUCGAGUCGCACAAGCGUCGAGUUGUGUCCCGCUCAAAGGUCCUCCUUUCUUUUCCCAAAAGUGCCUCGUUUCCAUUUUUAUUUUCAACUUCUACUAGCUGAAACAUUCUUGGUAAAUCUUUUUUAUUUCAUCGAGUGUAUCGGAAGACCCCAUUUUUAGAGAAGAGGAUUAUUAAUUCAAUCGAGUCGUGCUGACCGCGUUUCGGUGAACAAUUUUUGAAUUUUCAUUUUUUCCAUUGUCAGGUAAAAUCAUCACGUUUUUCUGUCUUGCCGGUUAGAAUUUAGAUCAGCCUGGGAAAAGUGUUGCACAAUUAGUAAAUAGGCAUUUGUUAGUGAUAUGUGUGUGUGCUACGUCUUCCUCGUGGACGAUCGCCCCCAACAACGGUCUCUUUUAUUAUUAUUUUUUACCUUUUUCUAUCCAUUGAUGUGCGUGUCACCGAAGCGAUUGGAACGCACGGUCGGUAGCGCGUGCUGUGUGAGUUGUGCACGACAUAGCUCGAAAAAAGGCAAAAAUCGUGUCGUGGUCGUCAUGGCGCUGCUUUUUUCUUUGGUUAUCUAGCUGUAUGAGUGUUAGAAGACGUCAUAAAGCUAGGUUACCAAAGUUAAGAACUGCCCCUCUUCAUCGGCUAUUUUCUCGUUUCAUAUUUGUGUGUAUCGUAAUCAGUUUUUCUUGGAAGAUUGCAAGAUAAAUUGACCUCGUGUUGGUUUCUCAAUACCUGUUUGUGUGUUGUAAGUUUUGGUAGAGGUUUUUUCGCCAGAACCGAAAUGGUAAUUUGAUGAGUGUUGGUUGGGUUCCCUUUUGGCUGGCGCCACCGGGAUUUUUUUGACGUUUUUCUUGAUUUAUAAUUUUUUCUUGUUUAUUUGUUUUCUCUACGACUUGUCAGUUGCUCCUGCCAUCCGUAAUCGUCACCACAGCCGUGUAAAACACUAAGCGGAUGCGAUCUACAGCCGCUUGUUUUUCAUCUCAACUAUUGUCAAGGUGAAUUGGACAAGACACAAUCGAACCGAGUUGUCAGAUCACGUUGUUUUUUCUCGGAAUGAGUUGGGCGGCUACUUUGGGAAGUUGUGGCGCUGUCUAUUGGUUUAAAACCAUCUACACAACAAGCCAAAUAAGAAAAGGAAAACCGGUGAAUUCGACCUCGGACGUUCAACCUUCGUUUAUGGAAAAAAAGAACAAGUGGCCCAAAACUCUUUUGGUAUUUUGGGUGACUUUUUUUUUAAAACACAGUUCUAUUUGAGUCAUUGCCGAAUACCCGAUUUAUAUGUAAAAAAAUAACAUGUGCUAGUUGGUUGCCCACGCACGCGGCCACGUCAUGGCACUUUCUACUUAAAAGGGCGGCCCCUGACCGACCCGUGAGGGCAUCGGGAAGAACCACUGAACGUGUGCAGAGUUUUAUUAUAUAAAACGUCGUGACUGGCGUUUUUAUACAUGUGUGUGUGUGUGCGCAAUCUACUUAGGGAAUUUGUCUUUUUGUUUUAUCUGACGAAAUUUGUGUGUGAGAUUGUGUCUCAACCGGAUAUAUGGAGAAUUUUUUGUUUUCUUCCUCAGUCAUUGGAAAUUAUUGGUCAAUUUGCUUAGGGUUUCCAUUUUUUAAGGAAAUUUUGACACGUCACGACUUUCCCUCCUAGACUUGUCUUAAUGUAGGGAAAAGAUAAAUGUCAUUCGACACUGUUGGUUGAGUGUGUCUCCCCCAUCCUAAAAAAGAGAAAAAUUUGGUUUUUUGACUUUUUUGAAUGGGAGACGCGCUACCGGACAUUUGAUUGGACUCUAGAGAUAACAAUAAAAAUUGAAAAGAAACUCGGAGAGAAGUAAAAUCCUAACAACUAGGGACUAACCCCCCAACCCUAGAAAAAGUGAUUAUAUUUCUUCUUCUUCUUCUCCUCCCUUUUUACAUUCCUAGAAGAACCUUCAGGUCACAUUUUGAAUGGUCCCUGUUGUUAUUUCUACCUGACUUCACCUGUGGGAUCAGCGUCCUUCAGACCCAACAGACUCUCUUGUCUGACGGUGUCUACGACAACUCGGCCGCUACAGCCCCCUCGACUCCUGGUAAGGGGGAGGAUUUGUGUUACCUUUGUGGCUUUUCUAUUCCCUUUUUUUAUUUCGGCGAGAAAUGCCAGCAAAGUGAAAGUCUCGGCUUUUUUCUAUCAGAUUAGAAUGGAAUAAAAACGAGUCAUUUGAAGAAGAAGAAACUCUUCUUCUGAUUACAAACAGCUUAAAGUUUUGCUUAUUAUAGCCACUUAACACACGAUGAUGUCACUGAUGUAUUCCCGAAAUUUGAAACUGGCCGUCUGCCGACUUUCUAGACGUGCACAUCUUGUGUUCACAUUUUAUUUUGAAAGCGGCAAACAACCUGGAGGAAAAGAGUAUUUGUGCUUGUCAUUGGGAUUAGUUUAACCUGGAUAAGUACGAACACGAGAGUAGAAAACAACGUGAGGGAUCAAAUGUAUUUUGUCUUUUUCAAUAUUUAUUCACAUACACGUACAUGAAAGAAAUGCAUCCAUCAUCUUUUUUUCUCUCGUUUUUUCGGGCCUGUUCGACAGUCUCAAAAGUUUUAUUGGUUUGUGAGACGCGGAAGGGAUUUGCCGAAAAAGUAACAAGAGUAGAGAAACAAAAAAGAAAUUUUUGUGUCGUGUAGUAUACCGGUACAUACAAGUUGUUGCUUAAGGUGUCGUAAUAAUCUGAGAAAACAAGAACUCUGUGUGGGUGUUGGGUAAGA